rnacentral:rRNA from 1 species
GUCCACGCCGUAAACGAUGAGUACUAGGUGUAGGAGGUAUCGACCCCUUCUGUGCCGAAGCUAACGCGAUAAGUACUCCGCCUGGGGACUACGGCCGCAAGGCUAAAACUCAAAGGAAUUGACGGGGCCCGCACAAGCAGCGGAGCGUGUGGUUUAAUUCGAUGAUACGCGAAGAACCUCACCCAGGUUUGACAUGCAUGUGGUACCAAGGUGAAAGCUGAGGGACCCUUCGGGGAGCAUGCACAGGUGUUGCACGGCCGUCGU